GGGGAUGAUAUAGCGUUGAUGGAAGGCCUUUUCUAAAAUAUGCAGGCCGAGCCGGCCGCGGCUCGCAAAUAUCCGGCAAAAAAACAACUGCCAACUUUUUGGCGAAAGCUAAAGAUGCUUUCACGGCUUUUGGCCGCGGAGGCGUAUUAGCUCCUGCUUACGUUUAACGCGUAGGCCAUCUCGCUUCUUGACCCCCGAUAAAGAAACCGAGGUGUAAUACAAUCGGGGCGCAUCCGGCUCUUUGCCCCAAGCGCCGGAGAAGACACAGGGGCUCGGACCUCGGGAGUUUCGCCCGUUUUAUAUCCCGCGGCCUUAAAUUCAAACGGGCUAAGCCUGAAGCAAUAUUUUGGAAUUACUUCCAGACCCGGGGGCGGUACCCGGCAUCUCCACCA
rnacentral:tmRNA from 5 species